rnacentral:rRNA from 1 species
UACGAAGGGGGCUAGCGUUGUUCGGAAUCACUGGGCGUAAAGCGCACGUAGGCGGACAUUUAAGUCAGGGGUGAAAUCCCGGGGCUCAACCCUGGAACUGCCUUUGAUACUGGGUGUCUUGGAGUCCGGGAGAGGUGAGUGGAACUGCGAGUGUAGAGGUGAAAUUCGUAGAUAUUCGCAAGAACACCAGUGGCGAAGGCGGCUCACUGGCCCGGUACUGACGCUGAGGUGCGAAAGCGUGGGGAGCAAACAGG